CCGCCCCCGCUGUGCAGCCCUUAGCGGCAUUCCCCGCGCCGGAAGAUUGGGGCGGAGGCUUGGGACCACUUCAUAUGCGGGAAUUUCAGAGCGGCGAGCCUCAGAGACCACCCAACCCCUUCCUUAUGCCGUGGGGGACCGAGGCCAGAGUGAGGAGGGGACUUGCCAAAAGGCACGUAAGCUUUUUGGAGCGAAGCCAGAGCUGGAGCACAGGGCCGCCGAGUUCCGCUGAGUUCCUAGAUUCGGGGCUCAUCUUCAAAAAGGACUAUGGGAAAGCAUUUAGGGGACUGUUUCAUACAUGGCCCAUUUCACGGAAGGGGAGACUUGUCAAUCAACUAUGACUCUGAACACACAGACACUGACCAAGUAUGUGUCCAGUCCAAGAAUUCUGUUUUCAGGCCUUGUGACAUCUGGGUUUUAUUAAAUUUUCAAAACAAUA